rnacentral:rRNA from 1 species
UACGUAGGGGCCUAGCGUUGUCCGGAUUUAUUGGGCGUAAAGAGCUCGUAGGCGGUCCGACAAGUCAGGGGUGAAAUCCUGCAGCUUAACUGCAGAAGUGCCUUUGAUACUGUCGGUCUUGAGGGAGAUAGGGGUGUGCGGAACUCACAGUGGAGCGGUGAAAUGCGUUGAUAUUGUGAGGAACGCCGGAGGCGAAAGCGGCGCACUGGAUCUCUUCUGACGCUGAGGCGCGAAAGCUAGGGGAGCAAACGGG